CUGCCUCAGGCCACAGCAAAGGUCACAAUUAACAUUCAUUGUUGUCGGUGGGUUGUGAGGAGGCAGCCAGACCCACCGGGGGAUGAAUGUCACUGUGGCUGGGCCAAACAACACCAUCAGGG
rnacentral:precursor_RNA from 7 species